rnacentral:lncRNA from 1 species
GCCUCAUCUGAAUUCUAGGAGAGAUGUUAUCACCUCCCUUCCAUGAAGGGAACUGAGGUUGAGAGAGGUCAAGUAAAUUACGCCCAGUCAGCAAGACACGGGGAAGCUGGAAUCCUACCUGUGUUUUCCUGAUUGCGACGCGUGAACCCUACACCCUCACCCCCAACCCUUGCCUCCUCCCUGUCGCGUGUCUCAGAUACAGUUCUGUCCUCCCACCUCCCGCUGGGUCUCUGCAGAGCUCGGCUCUCCCCUGGGUGACGCCUUGGGAGCCCCUGGGCCCUUGACCAGCCACGGGUCGCACAACCUCGCCACCUGGGACCGCGUUGUUCGCAUCUGCAUUGUGAAGGCACCUCUCCCACUUGGGUGCUGGGCGGCAGCACCCACAUUUCCCUCAGCUAGUUCCCUGCUCACCCCGAGUCCCCUUGCAGGUGGCUGUGUCCUCAGGGAAGGAUGGCCCUUCUGCUCUCUGCGCAGUGGCUCUCUCUGCAGGGUGUAGGCGAGGAG